rnacentral:rRNA from 1 species
UACGGAGGGUGCGAGCGUUGUCCGGAAUCACUGGGCGUAAAGGGCGCGUAGGCGGCGCGGAUAGUCGGCGGUGAAAGCCCGGAGCUCAACUCCGGGUCGGCCGUCGAUACUUCCGGGCUUGAGCACUGUAGAGGCAGAUGGAAUUCCGGGUGUAGCGGUGGAAUGCGUAGAUAUCAGGAGGAACACCGAUGGCGAAGGCAGAUCUCUGGGCCGUAACUGACGCUGAGGAGCGAAAGCAUGGGGAGCGAACAGG